CAUCGAUAUAAUCGUACAUAAACUUUUGUGAUGAAAUAAAAUUAGAAUUUCAAAGUUAGGUCUUUCAGGAUGCUGUUUCGUUAGUCAUCCAUGCAUAAACAUCACAACUCAUCAGUGACGUGAAAAAUGUUGAUUUCUUUCAGACCUUUUGGGCAUUUCUCCAAUAUUUAUCAGUAAUCAAUCAAUAUUUAGUUAAUGAUUAUUAAUCUUAAUGAUCUAUAUCAAUAGCCAGCCCUAGUUUAGAAUAUGUUAUUGCAGCAUUAUACACACUGAAAUAAGGGGGUCGUUGAGCCAAGUGGUCGUGAGUUUUACCUCACCCAAGACACAGAUUUGAUUCCCCACAUGGUGGUUCAGAGGGAAGUCUAUUUCUGGUGUUCCCUUGUAUUAUAUUGCUUGUAUAUUUCUGAAAGCAGCAUAAAAACGUAAUCACUCAGUGUUAAGCCAGUACAAUCCUAAUUGAUGAAACUAGAACAAGGAUAACCUCAAUAACUUGUGUGACUGCAGGCUCCCUGCUAACAUAAGCAGACACAGUGUGAUGUACUGUCCAAAUUAAUGUUAACACUACUCAGUCCUGCUGCUUCUGCUUGUGUGCUUGCUGUACAUUUUUGUCACAGUACUCUGUACAUAUGUAGUUACCAUGGUUACCAGCAUGUUCUGAUAGUUUUACUAAAUCGGUAAUAAAUGAAAGUUUUAUGACCUUAUUUCUUUUUUGGCUUCAGAUUACAAUUUAAUCUUUUAAAAACUUGUUUAGGUAGUGUAUUACAGACAACGUAUAGUUAGGAAUAGGCUGCUUGAAAUGUAUGUAUGACUGAAAAGUGAAAGUAUGAGGUGUCUUCUCAUAUUAUCUAUGUGGGCAUUUUUCUUUUUCUGAAAUAGUUUCAUGAUUGGGAUGUAUAUUAUGUUCACUUUUUUUUUCAUAUUAAAUUUCUUUUGAUUUGGAACAUUUUGAUGCAAAAUGUAAAAUAAUUAAGAAAUUGCUUUUAGGGUUUAUUUGAACUUUCUUUACAAAAUAAAGCUUGAAUUAUUUUUGUAUUUUUUUUUUUAACACAUUUGCAAACUUUUGCAAACCCAGCAUGUAUGCUGAAUGAUGUGUGAGGCCUGUUUCUAGGGCUCCUGCCAUUAUAUUGUUCGGAUACUGCUUGAGAAACAGUAUGAGAACUGAAGAACAUCUCAUAACUGAUACGCAGUAUUUGAAUGUGGGUUGAACUUCUUGAUGAAUAUUUCAUGAUCUUCAUCUUUCUUUUAACUGAUGACUUUCAAGUCAUAUUUCGUGAAAUACAUUCUCUCCUCAGGAAUAAUGUCCCACUCCGACUCCUCCCAGUAGGUGUCUUGUCAGAACUGGUAAAGAAAUGUUUCUCAUCAGUGCCAGAAUUUAAAAAUGGCUUGGAAAUAAUGCUUUGGGCUCUUUAAACCUCAUUGUUGUGUACUUGGUUUUGUUUUUAAACAACAAAUGAGAGACUGUAACCAAUAAUAAGACUGAGCACUUCAUUACAACAAGGAAAGUGUUGAAUAUGCUUCUCUAAACUUUGAAACAAUCAAGUAUAGACAAUAUUCCAUAGUGUACCAUAUCGUAUGAGACAGUGAAGGAAGAUCUUGAAGACUUAUCUAUAGUGCAAUAAGUUAGGAAAUGGUUGAAUUCAGAUUUCAGUGAAAAAAAAAUGACUAGCUAGGUUUUAAAUAACUAGCUAGGUUUUAAAUACAGGCAGUUCAAUGAGAAACAUAUCUUUUUCUUUUCUUUUUAUUGUUAUCAUAUUGUGUUGUUCUUAAGCAUGUUGAGUUAACCUGAGUUAAUGUGUGCUGUAUUUAUUUGUGUGAAUGCUGAGACUAACACCAUUCAUAUUGAUUAUUGGGGCUGUAACGAUACACUUGGUCAAGGAAUGUUGUCCAAGAAGAAUCCUUAUGGGUACUUUGGUGAGUUUGGUCUAAUAUCACCACUCAAAUUACCAUGAUCUGCAGGUAUUCCAACCUGUUUCUGAAGCUCAAAAGGACUUAUGUUUCACAGUAUUACAAGAGAGACAUCAGAAAGUGAUACAUGAUAUCAGAGACCAUAUAAUAUUAUACUUGACAUCAUAGAAAACCACAUUCCAGCACCAAGAACAACCAGAGAUGCAGAAAUUGUUGAUAAUUCAUGUUUUAGAUGUUGACAUAAAUAUAUACUUCUCAUCAGAUAGGGAGCAUCUAGGAAGGGUCUUAAUGUGACUGUAAAUAUGUUGUCAUUUUCCUUUUCAAGUCAAUUAAAUACAUUUCAGAAAGCAGAUACUUUCUUUUUCACAUAACUGUGUGAAAUAGCUCACUAUGCCUGUAUAUGUUGAGCAGUAUAUACAGAUAUGACUGGAGCAUACAUGCUAGUAUUGCUGUGAUGGUAUAAAGAAUCUUUCUACAUCAAUACUUUUGAUGAAUCGUUACAGCCCUAACCAUUAUUUUUGUUCUGGCAUGCUAGAGGGUGCAUGAGAUGUUAUUAUUUCAGUCCCUGUAGUCAUAGUGUGAUGAUUUUAGCUGAACACAACGCUGCCACAUGUUAAUUGCUCAAUAGCCAUGAUACUCAAGUGUGAUGUUAAACUCACACAAAUUAAAUCAGGUAAACUGUCCGUAAACACUGAAUGCUUACCUUCAGGUCGGAUUCAGAACAGGGGCAGAAAUAGAAAAAAGACAAUAAAGACUCCUUUUUUCAGUAUUCUAUUGGUAUGUAAGGACAUUUUCAUUAGAAUAAGUGCUUGGAAAUAGGUUUGUAUUUCUUUGGAACAUCAUCAGGUUAACUUUUCAAGAAUCAGCAAAGUGUUUAAAGGGAGACAACUGUCCUUGACAUCUCUGCAAGAAUCCAAAGUGAUACUACUAUACUAUACAGACAGUUACAAAGUUACAUGUCUAUAUGUACUGUUAUAUAUUCUGCAUCACUUGUUAUAUCUGCUGAUGAGUUUCCUAGCUCAGUUCUCUCCCCUGGGAGGAAGGGGAAGCGGUUCCACGUGUUCUCCUUUUCAUCAUUCAUGUGGCAUUGUUUACGGAGAAGGAAACACGGUUUGAAAAAGAAAGAGUGUGACCAAGGUCACGUGGAAAUGAUGAAGGCAGACUCUUACGACAGACGCAGGUUAUAAUAGGAAUAAAUAGCUAUUUUAUAGAUGAUGGCACUGGCCUAUCGGAAUGUCAGACAUGUAUGUCUAGCUGAUGCAGUAGCUUCAGUCUGUCUAAAGACAACAGGAGGUGCAUCUUCAUGCUGACGUGAUAACAGUUAUCAUAUGUCACUGGCAGAUCAUAUAUUAUUGACAGUGUUGCAUAUUCAAAGGAAAAAGGGUUAUGUUCCUGGGACUCGGAACAAGCUUGUCCUGGUGUGACUUGUACUACACAGUGUCUGCAGCAUCUUCGGAGUCUUCUUUAGCAAACAACUGGGUGUAAUCACUUGUCAAGGGCUGACAAAGCUGCAAUCAGUGGUAUUGAAGGAGAAUUUGAAGUUUUCCUGCUACAACAUGCAUCAUCUCACAUCAUGAAGCCUCAAAUCUAUUGUUAAAUAGAUAGACUUCUUUGUCAGAAUAAAAACUAAUAGUCUUUACAGUGACCUCAGUCGAACAAAAUGAGCACUUCAAGAUGAGCGAUGCACAUGGUCACAUAGUGUAAGAGCUUCAGCUUCCCAUCAGGAUCAGAUGUACAGAGGUGCCUGUUGAUUAACCUGAAGUGUUCAAUGUCAUGUACUAGAAAGACCAUCAAAGCUUGACACACAUGGAUAGUCGAUAUCACACAUUUAUAGAACUUCUAUGGAACCUUUCACUGAAGCUUCCAAAUAUUUUUGUAAUAUUUACACUAAUAGUUUUCAGUUGUUUUAGUUAUAGUGUAAUGUAGUUUACUAGCUAUGGUGGUUUUUCUGUAGGAAUAUUGUUUUUUUCCAUGUAUACUGAAGAACUUCAUUGACAAACACCUGUUAACAACAGUAUGUUGUGUUAUUGUUAUGGGAUGAGACUGCACCUUGGAUUUUUUGGAUGUGAAGAAAUCUUUGAAAACUUGCUGCUUGAUUAUUUUGCACAAAGUAUUUUGUUCAUCAUGGCUAUGUACAUACUGGAGUGAAAGCUUUGAUUUUGAACAUGUUUUGUACAUACAUCAGUGAUAAGCAAAAAGAUCUCACUCCCAAACUAAUAUGAGUGAAGUACAACUGUACAAUAUAGAGUCUGUUUCACAAAACACUCUGUUCUCUGUGGUACUGUACUAUGGUGUUCUGUGGGCAGUGUUUGUAGUACAACACUCGGCUCUCUGGUGGACAGUGUCUACAUGGUACUAUGAUCUAAUGUCUUGUGGACAGUGCCUGUGAAACUAUGCUCUAAUGCCUGGAGGACAAGUAUAUGGUUCAGUGCUAUGGCGUGUAGUUGAAGAUGACUGAAAUACGAGACUCUUGUAUCAGGUGGUCAGUUCCUGCGUUGAAGUUGUCAUCGUUUUGCGAAAACUUGUGCCAAACAGUCCAGCAGGCACUAGAGACGUGGUAUUCAACAGAACCUGUUACACUAUUUAGUUCGAUGAAUGUUUCUCUUCCCAGUUUGAUCCCCCAAAUAAAUGAAUUUAAAGAA
rnacentral:lncRNA from 1 species